GUUUGAUACAUUUGAACCAUUGGAUCGUAGUUAUUCUUGUAUAUGUCAAGCUAGACAAUUCUCAGAUCGUGUAGGAUUCAACGGAUCGGAAAUCGAAG
rnacentral:pre_miRNA from 1 species